UCUGGAGUGCAGAAAAAUUUUUCCCGCACUAGAGCGGAAAAGUGAUUCUUUGCGUUCUGUAAUCAGUGCAGCAAUGGCCACUUUUCAACGUAACUGUAGGAAAAAAUAUAUUCUAGGUACCUUGAUUUGAACUAUACAUCUCUCCAAUUUGAUGUGUAUCUGUUGAAGGUAGUUAAGGAUACUCUUCAGAUGAGUUGAAACUGAACCUUCUCAAGUUGAUCGUUAUGAAUCAAAACGUAUACAGACAAUGAGAGAACGUUCAAAUCAAUGAAUCGGAGGCAAUCUUAAGACUAUUAUCUCUUUGAAUUGUAUUCAAAAGAAACGUCUAUCCAAAUAUCUAUAAAGUAUUGUAACGUUGAACUGCAUCUCCGGUAAAUGAUCGAAAUCUACGUUGAAAAUGUAAAUUUUAAUGUUCAUUUGAUGUGCCUACAUUGGAAAAUGUAAAACUCUUUGAGAGAGACUCUUACUGAAGGUCAAAAACAACGAUAUGAUAUCCAUGUGUGUAAUCCACGGUGCAUAAAUGUGUCUAAAAGACACAAAUUGAUUAGAUCUAACCUGUGUUAUGUUUCUUUUAGCACCAGGUUUAGAAGAGCGUUCAAUAGUGCAAGAGUUAGAGGAACUUGGUAAAAUGCUGAUUUCACACUUUUACUCAGCUUAUUUAUAAUUGAAAUCAAUUCAUUGUUGAAAACUUUUCUCCAAAGUAGCACGACUCACCAUUUUUUAGACAUUGCCAGGUUACAUAAUUUAUUGUAACAUACAUCAAGAGCUAUUAAAUCUGUGCUCAUCUAGAUACUCUACUAGAGUGCUCUAGAUCACUAAAUAUCGCUCUACCUCUUGCACAUUUGGACAAGUUAGAAAGUUUCCUACAAAAAUUUUGUCGACUGCCUGAUCUUUUUGAGCUCAAUAACUUCUAUUUGUAAGGAUGUUAAAUGUUAGCUAGUAUUUAUGUCUUCCAGGUUUAUAUUUUGUUUGAGUAAUACUUGGUCGAAUUGACCUUUAUUUAACUGUUUUUUCAAAGCCAAGCUAUCAAACCGAUAAAAUACAUUUAUUUAUCACAUUCCACAAUCACAAUAUUAAAUUAAUGAUUAGGAGAGAAUCAACAGGAUAAACCCAAAACUGUUUCUCUCUCUAAUUUUGAUAAAAAUAGUCUAAAUGAGGACUAUUUAGUUCACUUUAUCGAUUCAUUGGGCUUGUCUCAUUACUUGACAACAUGAUGAUAUUCGGUUCAUAUAAACAUUUAUUAAAACAGAAAAGCUAAUGUGAAUUUAUUGUGGAGUGUUGAUUUCACAAUUAUUGUAAGCCUACAAGGAAUUGUGGGCAUUGGGAGUGAUUUAUCAAACACAGAUUCGGAUGCGAAUUGAAACUUUACUUAAUGUAUUCAAAGUAUAAAUUUGAAAUUUUACUUUCAAUACAUUUAUUCAUUUUGAAAAAGUUGUCAAUUUGUUCUUAAUAAUCGUACAAGGUCAUGUUGACCUUGGAAUGUGGUCUAGUCUCUUAAGCUCAUACUUUGAAGAAUAUUUUUAUUCAAAUUUCGAUAUUAACCUUGAUAUUAAUACAUACAACUGGAAGUUUAUUUUUAGGAUUUCAAAAUUUUGUAAUGAUGUCUUUUCAUUGAAAGUAAUGAAAUAAUAUUAAGAGUAACGUUUACCUUACUUCGAUUGUAGUCCCGUAUGUGAUAUUCAGUUAGAAACAUAAUUUAUAUUCAUUCGAAUAAAAAUGUAUGUAUUAAUUUACAAAUCUAUUCAAUUCUAGUCCUGUAAACCCAUUCUAUCAUAAGGAUUCAACGAAACGCUUUGAGAGGGCUUUGUGUAAUUUCAACUUGGCAAAAGAACUGUGAAGUAAUUUUCUACUUUCAACAUCAUGAAUUGAUUAUUCAAUUCAACUUUUGUAAAACCAAAAUUUCGAAAUUUUAUUCAAUUUGAAAAAGACGAUUUAAAAAAUCUCAUUUUGAUCGAAUUUGGUUUGAUUGCUUGGUUUUUUGAGAGUUGCUUGUAAAUAUUUCAUUCGUUCUAUUAUUGUCCCAAUGUACAUCGAUGUUUAUUUGUUUGAACAAUGCAACUGAAAAGACUUUAGCAUCUCUGGAUUCGGAGUGGUUACUUUAAUGUUCAUUAAUUUUAUUCUAAUAAUUACUUUGAUAAUAAUUAUUGUACUAAUGUGAUGUAAAUAGUAUGAUUGAUUUGAAGUUGAUCUAAUUUACUUUAAUUAAUUGUUACUGUUCUGUGUAACCAUCAGCUAUGUGUUAUCCUAUCUAAGACUUUCCAGUUACUUAAUGAAGUUUUAACUUCUUUUUGUCCUAGAUGUUCGUUUUAUCUAUUAUUAUCCAUGUUAUGAAAUGGUGGAAAAUAAAUUAAGAUUUAAAAAUUG